AGCGCGUGGCCUUAUCUCGUUCUCAUCAGAAGACAGAAGUCAAAAGAAAAAGUAGGCGAAGAAGCGAACGUGUCUGCUGGAUUGAUGGAGGCGGAUAAGGGAAAAGAUGUCGACUUUGUUGAUGAAGACAAGGAGCAGGCGGAGAUCCAAGCCGCGGCUCGAAAGUGGGACGACAUUAUGCGGUCGAGGAUCGAUUUAAUGCGGCGACUUGGCCAACCCGUCAGGCUUUUCUACCCCAACAAUCCGGUGGAUCCUCGCAUCCUCCUCAAUCGAGAGAGCAACUGCGACAAGAUCGACACGGGCGCCGGGUAUGAACCCUCAACUCUCCAAGUUCCUUCCCUCUUCUUUAUGCGGUUCCAUCUCUCAGGGGUUGUUUGGAUCUCAGUUUGACCUCUAAAAAACUUGUCUGUUUAGAGUCUAGAUUCGGAGUACUACUCCGAUUGUUUCCUCACAAGAUCUGAAAUUCGAAACUGUAGUGGACUGGAAAAGACAACUCUGCUUGUUACUCACAAAACCUAAAAAUACGAAGAGUAUUGUAUUGUAACUAAACUACAGUUUACCACACAAUGUUCUCCAGAUUGUAAAGGGGUACAUCCGUACCCGCGACAAGUAAUUCGGAACGGAGGGAGUACAUACAUCCAAGUGGCGAAAGCAGAUAAGCUAGCUUUUGUAGGUCAGGGGAAGGGGAUUUCUUCAUAACUAACUUGUUAUGUGUUUGGAGCUACUACCUCUGUACACUAAUGUACUACUUUAGUUUACAGAGCGAGUAUAAAUUACCCAAAAAUAUGUUCCACGAAAGAAUGAACGGCAUUCAUGGCCCAAACAUCCAUUUACUUCCUCUUAGGCAAAAUUAGCACCGGUGCCCAACAUUGUUCAAUGAGAGGUAGUAGCAUUUUGUCUAUAUGUAGAUGCACAGUGCAAGCAGUUUUAAGUACAAGCACAGUGCCAAUGGUCCUCUAUUCCUAAAUAGUUGCAAAGAGGUAUCAUUGCCCAAGUCCAAAUCCUUGACAGCCAUGCCGAGUGGAAGCUCAAGGCUCGUCACCAAGAGGUAUCAUUGCAUUUUUAUUUCAUUGUUUCCAUGUUGCGGUUAGUUCUAACAAAUGUGUUUAUGUUGAUCACUUUCCGAAAAUUUAGGCAACUGGAAGUGGCAUUGGCAUCGGCAUUGGCUGCAGUAUUGCAGUAUUGAGUGAUAAACUUUAUUAUUAUUAUUAUUAUUAUUAUUAUUAUUAUUACAUUUACACCAUUGCUUGCAGUAUUGCAUUUAUUUUACCCCCCUAAUUUAUUGAUGGUGUAUAGACUAUCAACUAUGGUUGGAGGUGGAGCAUCCAAACCCGUAGCUGCAGCUGCAGCUCCAACUGCAAUAGGAACCCAUCCCAAGUCCAAAUCCUUGACAGUCAUGCCGAGUGGGAGCACAAGGCUCAUCGCGAAGAGGCAACUGGAAGUGGCAUUGGCAUCGGCAUUGGCUGGAGGUGGAACCUGCUCAUCUGAAGACAACAACCAGUGAAAUUAGCAGGAAUAUAAGUUAACGACUAAUUUUGGAGUUUGUUUACAACAAUAUAGUCCGGUGCAUGUUAGUUUGCGACUACUGCAAGCAUGUUUUUUCGACUGUUUGGAACUUGACGAUGAUGUAAUGCCACUUGUCGACUGGAACCAGGGAAAUAUAGGUGAUGUUGCAGUUGCAGAUCACUUGUGCAAGUUGGGGUUGAUUCCUGUUCAA